AUGGAGGGGCAAAAGCACCACGCCGACAGCCAGAAGCACAAUCGAAGGAAAACGUCGACCAAGAUGGGCUCCGGCGGAGACCAGGCCAGUCCGCCGGGCGCCAAGGCGGGCGCCGGCGGGGACCAGGCCAAUCAGCCAGGCGCCAAGGCGGGCGCCGGCGGGGACUUUCCCAAUCUACCAUGCCCCCCCAAGCCGGGCACCAGCGGCGACCAAGCCACCUCGCCAGGUGCCAAGUUGCGCGCCGGCGACCAAGCCAGCCCGUCAAGUACCAAGAUGCGCGCCGGCGACCAAGCCAGCCCGCCAAGUACCAAGUUUCGCGCCGGCGACCAAGCCAGCCCGCCAAGUACCAAGUUUCGCGCCGGCGACCAAGCCAGCCCGCCAAGUACCAAGUUUCGCGCCGGCGACCAAGCCAGCCCGCCAAGUACCAAGAUGCGCGCCGGCGACCAGGCCAAUCAGCCAGGGCAAAUUGCUACGACGGACAGAUUAGAUCGUCUUUUAAGUCAACCAGCAAACAAAUGUUGUGCCGACUGUGGUGCUCCAGAUCCAAAAUGGGUAUCAUUAACUUUUGGCGCGUUCAUCUGUAUCAAGUGUUCUGGAGCUCAUAGAAGCCUCGGGGUGCACAUUUCUAAGAUAGUCUCAGUGAAGCUAGAUGAAUGGACAGAUGAACAAGUUGAUUUUUUGACCGAUUUGGGUGGAAAUGGUGCAGUAAACAGUACAUAUGAGGCAUUUCUUGGCAAUUACACAAAGCCAAGGCAAGAUUGCUCAGCGGAUGACCGAAAUGAUUUUAUAAGGAGAAAAUAUGAGUUUCAACAGUUUUUGUCUAACCAACAGCUUUCAUGCUCUUCACAAAACAAUGGCAAACAUUGUUACCAGCAGCAGCAUGGUAGCUCAAAUCGACAUGGUUUAGGCCAUGCUUUCAGGAACAGCUGGAGGAGAAAAGAAGACAAAUCAGUAAAGAAACCUGCAGCUGUGGAGGUUGGUAUGGUAGAGUUUGUUGGAUUGAUUAAGGUCAAUAUCAUAAGAGGCACAAAUCUAGCUAUUCGUGAUGUGAUGUCAAGCGACCCUUAUGUUAUCCUAAACCUAGGACACCAGUCGAUGAAAACGAAGGUGAUAAAGAGCAGCCUGAAUCCUGUAUGGAAUGGAAGACUUCUGCUAUCGAUACCCGAUCCGGUUCCACUGCUAAAAGUGCAAGUCUAUGACAAGGACACAUUCACCACCGACGACCGAAUGGGGGAGGCUGAGAUAAACAUUCAACCACUAGUUGCUGCAGCCAGAGCCUAUGAAACCAAGUCCAUCACCGACAAUGCCGAGCUCAAAAAUUGGAUGGCGAAAGACGGCAUCUGGAUCCCAAGGGACAGUGCCAUCACCAUCAUCGACAACAAGGUUAAGCAGGAGGUGACUGUCAGGCUUCAGAACGUCGAGCGUGGCCACCUCGAGAUGGAGCUCGAGUGCGUCCCGCUCACGCAAUAG
rnacentral:rRNA from 1 species